GCCUCAUUGCAGCCGAGAAAGCAAGAUGGUUCACCAGCAGCUGUACUGGAGCCAUCCAAAAAAAUUUGGUCAUGGUUCUCGCUCUUGCCGCAUCUGCUCAAACCGGCACAGUACAAUCCAGAAAUAUGGCCUCAAUAUGUGCUGCCAGUGUUUCCUCCAGUACAUGAAGGACAUCAGCUUCAUUAAGUUGGACUAAGUGAACUUCCUUGAAUGGGUCAUCCAGGACAUCUACCUUAUGCAGGCACAAUGCUAGCUCUUUGUAUAUAAAAUAAAAAAUUUAAA